UGAGGCAGGAAAAUUGCUUGAACCCAGGAGGUGGAGGUUGCAGUGAGCCGAGAUCGCACCACUGUACUCCAGCCUGGGUGACACAGCGAGACUCCGUCUC
rnacentral:miRNA from 10 species